rnacentral:lncRNA from 1 species
UGUUGUUUGAAAUUGUAUGAGAUGUAAGGAGAAGAAAAACAAAGAGAAAACAAGAGAGAAGUCAGUUUGUAAAAAGAGAGAAUAGAGUGCCGAAGCACCUAGAGUGGAAGAAAAAAAUUAGUGUUUGUGUGUGUUUUUGUUGUAUUACAAAAUAAUUUUAGAAAGUGAUGUGAGAGAAAACAAAGAGAUUGUAAAUUAAAAAUAUUAUAUUGUGUGGUGUGUUGUUUGUCUUCUAGUCAAUUUAAUACAAAAAUUUCUUUUCAAUUACCCAUCAUUUCUUUUAUAUUUUCAACAAGACUAAGCAAUGAUCCACAUGUGGAUCAUGGUAGUACUGUAGCUAAUUGGUUUUCCAGCCAUUGUUGCAUGCACACACUAAGCUUUUUAAAGGUAAUUAAUCUCCAUCAUCACAUAAAUUAUACUUUUUUAUAUUUCCAACACACACCAUUGAUAGAUGUUUAUGCUGAUGCUAGUGCUGAUAUGGUAGACAUUCACGUUUCCACCAUGUUUCAGAC